rnacentral:rRNA from 1 species
GACGAACGCUGGCGGCGUGCUUAACACAUGCAAGUCGAACGGAAAGGCCCUGCUUUUGUGGGGUGCUCGAGUGGCGAACGGGUGAGUAACACGUGAGUAACCUGCCCUUGACUUUGGGAUAACUUCAGGAAACUGGGGCUAAUACCGGAUAGGAGCUCCUGCUGCAUGGUGGGGGUUGGAAAGUUUCGGCGGUUGGGGAUGGACUCGCGGCUUAUCAGCUUGUUGGUGGGGUAGUGGCUUACCAAGGCUUUGACGGGUAGCCGGCCUGAGAGGGUGACCGGCCACAUUGGGACUGAGAUACGGCCCAGACUCCUACGGGAGGCAGCAGUGGGGAAUAUUGUACAAUGGGCGGAAGCCUGAUGCAGCAACGCCGCGUGCGGGAUGACGGCCUUCGGGUUGUAAACCGCUUUCGCCUGUGACGAAGCGUGAGUGACGGUAAUGGGUAAAGAAGCGCCGGCUAACUACGUG